CACCAUACAGAGCAGUGCAAGCUGGAGCUGAGGGAGCUGCCCUGGGAUUAAAUUCAUCAUGGAGAACCAACUUGAAGCAGUUUAUGGGUUGGUACGUAGAGUAUGCUUAGGCUGUUUCUUUCCAAAAGAGAAAUGGGUGAUUUUAAAUGCCAUCACAGCCUUCUCUCAUUAGUGUAAGUUAACUUGAGAGUGCUUUUCCAUUCUGAAUGUCAUCACAUGGAGCAGAAAUCACUCAGCAGCACCGCGAGCUCUGAAAGGGUGAAUGAUUUUAAGAUGCUGAUACAUGAAGUCGAGCUGGGGCUGCAUUUUCCAGGAACAAACAGUCCCAUGGAAUGUGUAGUCAUUGCUUGGAGCCGGGAGGC
ensembl:lncRNA